AUGAAGGUGGCAGAGAAGGGGGAGAUCUUCAAGAUGAGCACUAAGCCGAGCUCCAUGAAGGAAGCGGAGAAGGGUGAGGUCUUCGAGAGGAACACCAAGUUGAGGUUGGAUAACAAUCCGAAGGCGACGGCAGAGGCGGCCAGCCUAUUCACGGAUGACAUCAUCCUAGAGAUCCUCUCCCGCCUCCCGGCCAGAUCUGUCCACCGCUUCAAGUGCAUCUCUGUGUCCUGGCGCAACCUCAUCGCCGACCCCGCCAACCGCAAGAAGCUCCCCCAAACCCUCGCUGGCUUCCUCUACUUCACCACCGAUGACAGUGGGCAUCACCACCACUUCGCCAGCGUCUCCGGCAGGGCACCCCUGUUCGACCCUUGCCUCCCUUACCUGCAACCUGACAAGUACAAGGACAUGACCCAGGUGGACACCUGCAAUGGCCUCCUUCUCUAUCGCGGUAGCAACAACAAGUUGGUCACUUGCAAUUGGGCAAAGGACGAUUACCGUUUUGUCGUCUGCAAUCCGGUCAACGGGAGGACUCACAAGGAUAGUGGGAUGGUUGAGAAAGUGGCAUUGUUCUAUCUUACUAGAUGUGUAUUUGUCGGCGGCAUGAUGUACUUGAUGGGCAUUCAUAAAGGCAUUAACGAAGAGAAUGUGCUGGUGGGUGUGGACAUGGAGGUGAAAGUGUGGAAGAUUAUCCGUGUGCCGCACAGUUCAAGAGUUGGCACGCUUGGAACAUCGCAGGGGUGCUUACACUUUGCUAUAGCUUCUUCCAUUGAUGAGAUUGAACUCUGGUGCCUCAACGAUUGUGACAGUAAAGAAUUGGUCCUGAAGAAUACCACCAGCAUCGAUAAGCUUACGAGCAUGACUAGGAAGUGGUACGGUGUGGCUGAGAUUCAUCCAGAUUGUGACACCAUUUUCCUGGUUUCAUGGGAAGGUGAUGCCUUGGCAGCUUGA
rnacentral:rRNA from 1 species